rnacentral:lncRNA from 1 species
CACAAGGAUAUGCAUUCUCUCCCCUUUCCCACUUCAGCUGACUGAGUGAACAGCUGUGUAGUACUUAGCUGCCUUCUGUAGGGUUAAACCACAACAGCUACUGAUACCUAUACUGCCAUAUGCUUCUCAUAACGCACACACAAAAGAAUUACAAAAAGGACUACGCACUCCUCAUACUCCUCAUCUUGAUCUUGUGUUCAGCUUGUAAAGUUCACUUCAAUCUGUUUGAGCAUAGGACAAACCAAAAGCCAUGUGUCCCAUCUCCACUGAAUUGAUGUGUAAGAGGUCAGAAAGAGCAACAGCUUUUUGAAGAUUGAUUAAUAAAGAACAUGAUGAUGAGCCUAAGUUCAUAUUCUCCCAAAGAAGUUGGCAGCCUGUGUCCUGGACAAGUACACUCUUUGCUGGGUCAAGAACUGGCUGGAUGGCUGGGUCCAGAGAGUGGUGGGGUGUUGGACUAGAUGACCUUUAAAAGAUCCUUCCAAUUUAAAUGAUUCUAUGAUUCUAUGAAGCUAUAUUAGAAUGUAACUGUAAGAGACUAUUCUUUUAUAUCAUUGACUCAAAGUUUGCUGAGGAACAAGUCCAGGCAAGUCCUGGGCAAAGGCAGAGAAAUCUUUUGUCUUGAGGACACUGAUGGACAGGUCCUGGCUAAGGAUUGUGAAAUCCUCUAAGGAGCACAGAUGGACAAGGCCAGGGGCAACGAGAGAGAGAUAAGCUGCUGCUAAUGGCCGGGAAGCGGUCUUUUUGUGUGGACUUAUCUCAAGGAAAAUGGCCAUCUCAGGAGGUAUGCACAGGACUCUUGCUCAAGCACCCAGGAAUGUCACGUAGGCAGCAGAAAAUGGAGGAUAAAAGAAGGUCCAAUAACCACAACGGUGGAAGCUGAUCCUCCACCACAACCACGGCAACGGGAGAGGCUUAUCUCUCACCACGACAGACUUGAGGGGUUCUCUGCCAUCUGAUCCUUCACCACAACGUGGAGACUGAUCUCUACGCGGAGACUGAUCUCUCACCGCAAUGUGGAGGCUGAUCUCUCACCGCAACACAGAGGCUGAUCUCUCAUGAUCUCUCACCACGACACGAGCUUCCUGCCUUCAGAUCCUUCUCUGCUGACGGACUUCCCUGGGCCUGCUACCUGAGACCUGCUGCUUCCUCCCUGACCUGCACCCUCUCGUUGCCCAAGACCGGCCUCGCUGCUCCUGCCCUUCGGCCUCGGACUGUCGGAACAUUGUGUAACGGGACUGCUGCCGGAUCCUGGUGGUGACUAUCCCCGCUUUAGGCAAUUCUUGCCUCUUUCUAUCUUUUCUAUCGCUCGCCUUCCCUUCCCCAUCACCCCAAUCCUUAAUAGUGUCCGUCCUCCCCUUUCCCCAUCUCCCUUAUUAACAUUUGUAAUAAACUGGUCGGA